GUGCUGUUAAAAAAAAUUACUGUUAAUUUUAGUUGUGGCAAUGACACUGUGAUUAUCUAAGAAAAUAUCCUUUUCUUGAGAUGCAUACUGAACUGAAGUGUGUUGGAUAAAAUGACAUGAUAAGCUCUACGCUUUUCCAGCAUUCCACCAAAGGAAAGGCAAUAGUGGAAUAAAUACAAUCAUGCAUUCCAGUCAACGACAGACUGCAUAAUACACACGGUGAUCCCAUAAGACUAUAAUGGAGCUGGAAAACUCCCAUCGCCUAGUGAUGUCACAGCCAUCCUGAUGUCACAGAGCAAUGCAUGCCUCACGUGGGGAUGCUGGAGUAAGCAACCCUACUGCACUGCCAGUCUAUAAAGCUAAGUGUCCAGUGUUUCUAAAGUCUACAGCAGUGCACAGGAAUGUGCUAGGCCUUCACCACUCACUCACUGGCUCACCCAGAGCAACUUCCAUCCUGCACCUCCAUUCAUGAGAACAGUUUGUUUGCUUGGAAUCGCUGAGACACAAAACAUCUUGUCCAGAAGACAGAAAGAAGAGGAUGAACGGAGAUGAAAGGAAAGGAAAGCAGAAGAGAUUUUCACAGGAAAGGGGAGGAAUCCAAGGAGUGCAGUCACUGUGAAGCAAUGAGAAGCAGGAAGGAAGAGAAGCUCCUUCAAGGAAGUUCAUUUACAAUUUUUUUUUUUUUUUGGAUAAAGAUAUAGGGCAAGAAAGUGCCUCAUGAAAGAGAAACUGAUAAAUUUCCAGACCCUGGCCACAAAGUACAGCACAGCCAGGAGAGAUGGCUCUCAGGGGACACGCCCUAGGGAAGUGGACAUUCUGUGACAGUAGCCAGCUUCUGAAGAAGAGGCUCAGAGCAAAUGUGCCACGAGGAUGGUCUGGUAACACAAGGUGCACGCUUUCCAGUAAACCUUUCUAUCGUAAAACCUGGGUUCUCCUUCUCUUCUCUCCCUUCUCCCCUUCUUCUUCUUCUCUUCUUCUCUACUACUUUUCC
rnacentral:lncRNA from 1 species